GAAUCCCGUCUUUGACAUGGACUGCCAGGGCUCAACAGGUGUGCUCUCGAAGAGUCGAGUUGUUUGGGAAUGCAGCUCAAAAUGGGUGGUAAAUGCCAUCUAAAGCUAAAUAUUGGCGAGAGACCGAUAGCGAACAAGUACCGUGAGGGAAAGAUGAAAAGAACUUUGGAAAGAGAGUUAAACAGUACGUGAAAUUGCUGAAAGGGAAACGCUUGAAGUCAGUCGCGUCAGCUGGAAAUCAACCCUGCUUUUGCUGGGCGCACUUUCCUGUCUGACGGGUCAGCAUCAGUUCUGGUCGCUGGAUAAAGUCCUUGGGAACGUGGCAUCCUUUGGAUGUGUUAUAGCCCACUGGCGCAUGCAGCGGCUGGGAUUGAGGAACUCAGCACGGCCCUUGCGAGAGGGCGAUUGGAGGGAGACCUCACAACUUACGUGCUUAGGAUGCUGGCAUAAUGGCUUUAAUCGACCCGUCUUGAAACACGGACCAAGGAGUCUAACAUGCCUGCGAGUGUUUGGGUGGAAAAACCCAUGCGCGCAAUGAAAGUGAAAGUUGAGAUCCUCUUCAAAGGGGGAGCAUUGACGCCCGGACCAGACCUUUUGUGACGGAUCCGCGGUAGAGCAUGCAUGUUGGGACCCGAAAGAUGGUGAACUAUGCCUGAAUAGGGUGAAGCCAGAGGAAACUCUGGUGGAGGCUCGUAGCGAUUCUGACGUGCAAAUCGAUCGUCAAAUUUGGGUAUAGGGGCGAAAGACUAAUCGAACCAUCUAGUAGCUGGUUCCUGCC
rnacentral:rRNA from 1 species